rnacentral:rRNA from 1 species
GACGAACGCUGGCGGCGUGCUUAACACAUGCAAGUCGAACGGAAAGGCCCUGCUUUUGUGGGGUGCUCGAGUGGCGAACGGGUGAGUAACACGUGAGUAACCUGCCCUUGACUUUGGGAUAACUUCAGGAAACUGGGGCUAAUACCGGAUAGGAGCUCCUGCUGCAUGGUGGGGGUUGGAAAGUUUCGGCGGUUGGGGAUGGACUCGCGGCUUAUCAGCUUGUUGGUGGGGUAGUGGCUUACCAAGGCUUUGACGGGUAGCCGGCCUGAGAGGGUGACCGGCCACAUUGGGACUGAGAUACGGCGCAGACUCCUACGGGAGGCAGCAGUGGGGAAUAUUGCACAGUGGGCGGAAGCCUGAUGCAGCAACGCCGCGUGCGGGAUGACGGCCUUCGGGUUGUAGACCGCUUUCGCCUGUGACGAAGCGUGAGUGUCGGUAAUGGGUAAAGAAGCACCGGCUAACUACGUG